rnacentral:tRNA from 1 species
GGAUACGUGCCUGAAAACUAAGGACCUCCUUGAUAGGGAGAAUUAUAGGGGUUAAAACCCCCUCGUUUCCU